CUCACUCAGAGAAAACACUGUUUCUUCUAUAACUAGAUGUUAAUCAGACAUGUUUGUAUGUUUUAUAACACAAGUGAUAUUUUCAGUUUCAUACAUCUCUUCCAAAGAACAGAAGCUGGACUUGAGCAGGGUCGGCAGCAGAAUUAUUUCAGAUAACAACUGAAAAGCCCUCUCUUAUAGAGAGUAAUCACUUUUCCAUCGCAGAAUUUGACAACUUGAUGUCUACACUGGCUUCUAACAAUUAGGCAAAUCGUAUGUUCAACGUUUUUGUGUCUAAUUUUGCUCCAAUUAUUUUCUCAUCCACACUUUCCUUUUGCUAACCCCCUUCACUUAUUUACAUUUGCCCCCUUUUCUUGUAUGUAGCCAUGUGAGCCUCCUCAAAUCUUUAUGGAACAAAAUCAGACAUGAGUAAAUAAAGUGAGCAUCUAGUUGGUGGUACCUGAACAAAAGCACAUUCAAAACUAAGGACUUCUAUGCAAGAGAAUACUAGAUCUUCAGCCAGGUGUGAGUUACAAAACUAGACAGUUAGCAAAGAGAAGACUUUUCCAAGACACCAGCCCCUUCCAAGCAAUCAAGCCAAAGGGAACCACUGAAUAUGGCGUGUCAGCUCUCUUUAAAGCACACCAGUGUGUGGACCAUCUUCGUGUUGAUGGUCGUGGGCCAUCUCAGCCCAUGGUUUCCCAGUCAGUGGUGAGGUGAUCUGCAGCACAGCUUAGAGGUUACCUCCACGUGUUUGCAUCAGGAUCGAAAACUUCAAUGGUCUUCAAGUAUGUUGUGCCGUCAAAACCUCCUACUGCCAUGAGCUGUCCAUUGACCACUGCCAGGCCAACCUAGAGGACCAAAGCACAGGUGGACUCUCCUCAGAACCUGCUGCUUCUGGGAAACCACAAAGUUCUGGGAGGGACUAACCUGUGUUGAGUGGAGAUGUCCCAUCAGAGCCACCUACUGCAUAUAAUAACCCUCCCAACACAGCCACGGCCACGCCUAGUCUCCUGGUGCUCAUGGAAGCCACACGAGUCCACUUGUUCUCCUUUGGAUCAUACCUGCAGCGAGAGAAACUGGACUGUGGACGUGUUCUUAUUAAAUGAAGCCUUUUUCCUAAGAUCUUAAAUCACUCUAAAGAUACACUGGAUAAUCCACUCGCUAUCGUCAAAUGCACAGUGAGACUCUAAGAGCACAGAAGUUUUCUGCUGUCUUUGGAACUCUGUCUGCAAAGAGCCCAAAGGAGAUGCAGCCCAAAGGCUGGCUGUUAAUGGCAAUGUCGUGUCGAAGAACACAGCUGAUGGUGAGCAGCUGUGGGUGACAACGGCGUCUGCAAAGCCCAGGCCAGCUAAUUUCAAUUGCUAGGCUUGUGCCUCUUGGAGAUCUUAGUCACAGCUGUGUGGGGCAAAUCCUCUGAGUUCCUGGGGUCACAGUACCAGAGUUUAGUUGUCUGCUGUUGUGCAGCAAGUCACCCUCAGCUCCCCUAAGAACCCUAACUGGUUGUC